ensembl:misc_RNA 7SK 7SK RNA
GGGUUCAAUGGCAAUCUGGCUGUGACAUCUGUCACCCCAUUGAUCUCCAUUGUUGAUUUUGGCAUGUGCAAAGCCCCAGAAGCUUCAGGCUUAUGGGAAAAUUACCUUCCCCAAACAGGAAAAUGGUCCUUGGUCAAGGGUAUCUAAGUAAUUGCUGUCCACUGCUAGAAUCCCCAAACAAGAUCUCUGUCAUUUAAUAUGUUGUGCCAACUUUCUUGAUUCUUAGGUACUAUUGGAUAUGCUGGGGUAUAGCUCUCAAGGCAAAACUGU